rnacentral:lncRNA from 1 species
ACUGGUGACAUAUCUCGACGGCUGCUACGAACCUACAUCAGUCGUUGAUCACCAAGCUUGGCUUCCUGACCUACGCUGGCGCCUAACGAAGCUUCGCUGCACCGGGGAUCAAGAAGACCGCGAGUCUAGGACACCAAGUGGGUGAGCUCCUUCAAGCCUUCCAAACAUCAAAUUGACGCUGUCUCAAAGCGCGCCUUCUCUUUUGCAAAGCCUGCCACAAAGAUUCCGUCGGUCGUUGACGGACACGCCGAUUUCCUCGGAUCGGUUCCUGAUAACGAGAUCACAAAGCCGACAUUCACGGGCAGUUAUACAUUCGCGACAACACUGCAGCACGAUAAUUUUUGGCUGAUCAAAGCAGUGACGUGACAGGUUC